rnacentral:rRNA from 1 species
UUAAAUUGAAGAGUUUGAUCAUGGCUCAGAUUGAACGCUGGCGGCAGGCCUAACACAUGCAAGUCGAACGGUAACAGGAAACAGCUUGCUGUUUCGCUGACGAGUGGCGGACGGGUGAGUAAUGUCUGGGAAACUGCCUGAUGGAGGGGGAUAACUACUGGAAACGGUAGCUAAUACCGCAUAACGUCGCAAGACCAAAGAGGGGGACCUUCGGGCCUCUUGCCAUCGGAUGUGCCCAGAUGGGAUUAGCUAGUAGGUGGGGUAACGGCUCACCUAGGCGACGAUCCCUAGCUGGUCUGAGAGGAUGACCAGCCACACUGGAACUGAGACACGGUCCAGACUCCUACGGGAGGCAGCAGUGGGGAAUAUUGCACAAUGGGCGCAAGCCUGAUGCAGCCAUGCCGCGUGUAUGAAGAAGGCCUUCGGGUUGUAAAGUACUUUCAGCGGGGAGGAAGGGAGUAAAGUUAAUACCUUUGCUCAUUGACGUUACCCGCAGAAGAAGCACCGGCUAACUCCGUGCCAGCAGCCGCGGUAAUACGGAGGGUGCAAGCGUUAAUCGGAAUUACUGGGCGUAAAGCGCACGCAGGCGGUUUGUUAAGUCAGAUGUGAAAUCCCCGGGCUCAACCUGGGAACUGCAUCUGAUACUGGCAAGCUUGAGUCUCGUCGAGGGGGGUAGAAUUCCAGGUGUAGCGGUGAAAUGCGUAGAGAUCUGGAGGAAUACCGGUGGCGAAGGCGGCCCCCUGGACGAAGACUGACGCUCAGGUGCGAAAGCGUGGGGAGCAAACAGGAUUAGAUACCCUGGUAGUCCACGCUGUAAACGAUGUCGACUUGGAGGUUGUGCCCUUGAGGUGUGGCUUCCGGAGCUAACGCGUUAAGUCGACCGCCUGGGGAGUACGACCGCAAGGUUAAAACUCAAAUGAAUUGACGGGGGCCCGCACAAGCGGUGGAGCAUGUGGUUUAAUUCGAUGCAACGCGAAGAACCUUACCUGGUCUUGACAUCCACGGAAGUUUUCAGAGAUGAGAAUGUGCCUUCGGGAACCGUGAGACAGGUGCUGCAUGGCUGUCGUCAGCUCGUGUUGUGAAAUGUUGGGUUAAGUCCCGCAACGAGCGCAACCCUUAUCCUUUGUUGCCAGCGGUCCGGCCGGGAACUCAAAGGAGACUGCCAGUGAUAAACUGGAGGAAGGUGGGGAUGACGUCAAGUCAUCAUGGCCCUUACGACCAGGGCUACACACGUGCUACAAUGGCGCAUACAAAGAGAAGCGACCUCGCGAGAGCAAGCGGACCUCAUAAAGUGCGUCGUAGUCCGGAUUGGAGUCUGCAACUCGACUCCAUGAAGUCGGAAUCGCUAGUAAUCGUGGAUCAGAAUGCCACGGUGAAUACGUUCCCGGGCCUUGUACACACCGCCCGUCACACCAUGGGAGUGGGUUGCAAAAGAAGUAGGUAGCUUAACCUUCGGGAGGGCGCUUACCACUUUGUGAUUCAUGACUGGGGUGAAGUCGUAACAAGGUAACCGUAGGGGAACCUGCGGUUGGAUCACCUCCUUACCUUAAAGAAGC